UGGGGAAUCUUGCGCAAUGCGCGAAAGCGUGACGCAGCAACGCCGCGUGGGGGAAGACGGCCUUCGGGUUGUAAACCCCUUUCAGGAGGGACGAAGGCCGGGCGGUGAAUAGCCGUUCCGGUUGACGGUACCUCCAGAAGAAGCCCCGGCUAACUACGUGCCAGCAGCCGCGGUAAUACGUAGGGGGCAAGCGUUGUCCGGAAUCAUUGGGCGUAAAGAGCGCGUAGGCGGUCCGGUAAGUCGGUUGUGAAAGUCAGGGGCUCAACCCCUGAAAGCCGGCCGAUACUGCCGGACUAGAGUCCGGAAGAGGCGAGUGGAAUUCCCGGUGUAGCGGUGAAAUGCGCAGAUAUCGGGAGGAACACCAAUUGCGAAGGCAGCUCGCUGGGACGGUACUGACGCUGAGGCGCGAAAGCGUGGGGAGCAAACAG
rnacentral:rRNA from 1 species